AGAUCUUUUCAUUAGACCUUCAUUAAGAAGGUUAUUUGGACUCAAAAUGACUGCACGGAGCUGACUUGGAUCUUUUACCCUAAUCCAGAGAAACCACUGAAGUAAGACUGAGACUUGACUGCAUUUCUUUCUGUCUGAUGAACAAAAAUAUCAGGAGUGUGCCAAUAUACUAAAAAAAGAAAAUGAAAUAUGGUUUAGACUUCAUUAAUAAGGAAACAUGGCCAAAUGAUUACUGCAGCUUAAAUUUUCUAGAUGUUAACUGCUUUCUUAGUUCUCAUCACCUACAUGCUCAAUUUCUGUCCGAUCUUCAGUUAAGGAGGACCAAGAUUAUACAGCACUUUCUGACUUUUAAGAAAAUAAAAGAGAAAUUUGUCGAUAGCAGCACCACACUGAAGUUACUGCAGAAAUUUCUGAUGGAAAUUAUGAUCCAUACUGUCUGUGGAAGCCUCAAUGCUAAUGAAGACUAUAGUCAAUGCAAAAGAUACAAACAUCAGAAUUUUGGAGCUAAACCCCAGAAAUCAGCAGAAAAUUGGAACUCCUUAGGACCUGCUGUAUUCUUGAUCUGA
rnacentral:lncRNA from 1 species